rnacentral:rRNA from 1 species
AAGUCGAGCGAAUGACGAGGAGCUUGCUCCUCUGAUUUAGCGGCGGACGGGUGAGUAACACGUGGGUAACCUGCCUGUAAGACGGGGAUAACUCCGGGAAACCGGAGCUAAUACCGGAUGAUAACGAGAAGCGCCUGCUUCUUUUUUGAAAGUCGGUUUCGGCUGACGCUUACAGAUGGGCCCGCGGCGCAUUAACUAGUUGGUGAGGUAACGGCUCACCAAGGCGACGAUGCGUAGCCGACCUGAGAGGGUGAUCGGCCACACUGGGACUGAGACACGGCCCAGACUCCUACGGGAGGCAGCAGUAGGGAAUCUUCGGCAAUGGACGAAAGUCUGACCGAGCAACGCCGCGUGAGCGAUGAAGGCCUUCGGGUCGUAAAGCUCUGUUGUCAGAGAAGAACAAGUACCGGAGUAACUGCCGGUACCUUGACGGUACCUGACCAGAAAGCCACGGCUAACUACGUGCCAGCAGCCGCGGUAAUAC